AAUGUGGUCACAUUGCCAUGGGGAAAAAGUUCUAGAACCCACCAGAGAUCUCAAAUCUUUAGAUGUUGAAGUCCUAUAUACACAACAGCAUGCGAUCUGCAUCAUCCUGAGCACGCCUUUCUGUGUGCUUUAAAUCAUUUCUCUGUCCCUUCUAACACCCAGCACAAUGUAAACAGCUGACAAGCUAUGCUGCUCAGGAGAGAAUGUGUAUGGCCACAAAAGCCACAGAACCCAAGACUAUAGAACCUGUGGUCACAAAGGGAUGCCUCUGAUGGUUUCUAUGCCAAAUGUUCAUCUAAGAACAUGGAGACUCUGCUGCUUAGUUUUGUCAUUUCAUACAAACUGGAGUCACCUGGGAAGAAGGAAUAUAAGCUGAGGAACUGCCUUCAUCUAACUAACUGGCCGGCCCAAAUCCUAGUGAGAAAAUUAACCACCGAGGAUGAGUCUAAAUCAUUGCAUUGUCAACUGCAGCCAUUUUCAGAGGUUUAUUUGGAAUUCUGAAAAUUCUCAGACAGGAGCCUAGCAUGGCUGCCCUCCAAGAGGCCCAACAAGCAGCUGA